rnacentral:rRNA from 1 species
UACGGGGGGGCAAGGCGUUGUUCGGAAUUACUGGGCGUAAAGGGCUCGUAGGCGGCCAUCUAAGUCGGACGUGAAAUCCCUCGGCUUAACCGGGGAACUGCGUCCGAUACUGGAGGGCUUGAGUGUGGGAGAGGGAUGCGGAAUUCCAGGUGUAGCGGUAGAAAUGCGUAGAUAUCUGGAGGAACACCGGUGGCGAAGGCGGCAUCCGUGGACCAUGACUGACGCUGAGGAGCGAAAGCCAGGGGAGCAAAGCGGGG